UGCCAGCCGCCGCGGUAAUACGGAGGGGGUUAGCGUUGUUCGGAUUUAUUGGGUGUAAAGGGCAAGUAGAUGGUUAAGUAAGUCUGUCGUGAAAUCCCAGGGCUCAACCCUGGAACUGCGCUGGAAACUGCAUAACUAGAGCAUUGAAGGGGUAAGAAGAAUUCUUGGUGUAAGGGUGAAAUCUGUAGAUAUCAAGAGGAACACCGAUGGCGAAGGCAUCUUACUGGUCAAUUGCUGACAUUGAAUUGCGAAAGCUGGGGGAGCAAACAGGAUUAGAUA
rnacentral:rRNA from 1 species